rfam:Moniliophthora roreri MCA 2997 sctg_0126_0001, whole genome shotgun sequence.
UCCGUUAUGGUGUAGUGGCUAACAUUAUCGCCUCUCAUUCUGGACAUUAAUUGGUCAGAGCGCGAUAGCCCAGGGUUCGAUUCCCUGUAACGGAA